rnacentral:lncRNA from 1 species
CCUGAUAGAGAUCGUCCGAGUCCCGCACAUCAACACCGAGUCGGACUUGACCGAGUCUCCCAUGAAUUUCCUGUUGUUUCCGUCAACGGAGACCUCGUCGGAGGAUCCACAGUUGAUGAGAUAAUUGUCGACGGGAGAGAAGCGUUGGUAGAGAGAGGAGACAACUAGCAGGUGUAGAGAGAGAAACAGGAGGAGAGAGAAGCUAGGAUUUCCGUAAAGAUUCUCCAUGAGAGAGAGGAACGGAGAGACGUCGAAGACGAAACAGGGAAGUGAGUUAAAG